GGGGAAUAUUGCACAAUGGAGGAAACUCUGAUGCAGCGACGUCGCGUGAGGGAAGAAGGUCUUCGGAUUGUAAACCUCUGUCUUCAGGGACGAUAAUGACGGUACCUGAGGAGGAAGCACCGGCUAACUACGUGCCAGCAGCCGCGGUAAAACGUAGGGUGCAAGCGUUGUCCGGAAUUACUGGGUGUAAAGGGAGCGCAGGCGGACCUGUAAGUUGGGAGUGAAAUACAUGGGCUCAACCCAUGAACUGCUUUCAAAACUAUAGGUCUUGAGUGGUGCAGAGGUAGGCGGAAUUCCCGGUGUAGCGGUGGAAUGCGUAGAUAUCGGGAGGAACACCAGUGGCGAAGGCGGCCUACUGGGCACUAACUGACGCUGAGGCUCGAAAGCAUGGGUAGCAAAC
rnacentral:rRNA from 1 species